CUAACACCACUGAUGAACAAUGGGCUGGGAGGUCAAUUUCUUCAUCAUUAAUUUACAAUGCUUAUAAAAGAGAAUACACUCCUAAAGGUGUUUGAAUUCACAGACAGACUUCUCAUGCUGGGUAAGUUUAAGACCAGGCAACAGGAAAUUUGACCUACUUGUUGUUGUGCGUCAGAAACAUCGCCAAAAUAUGGAGAGUGUCCUAAGCAGCCAAAAGAGAGAAGUAUGCCACACUGAGGAUGGGGACAAGUGGGUGAAACAUUUUGUCUGACAGAUAGCACACCCAAGCAGAGAAAAACAUCCUUGCAAAAGGGUUGAACUUUGCUGUGACGCUGAGAAAAAUCCCACUAGUGGAACUGAUCACAGCAAGUGAAAAAACAGCAUUGCAGACAUGAAGCAGAGCAAUUGCAAAUGAAAGUUUCGGCUUGUCUCAGCAGUGCAACCAAAAUAAGCAUGGAGGAGAGGAAGGCAUUUGCAUCACUUAGUAACGACAACAACACUAUCAUCCUUCUGGCAAACAAGGGGGGAUUCAGCAUCAAGGCUGCUUUGGCUGCCAUCUGCCAAGAAACAAGUGGUGUUGAUAGGAUGACACUCGUCCAGCAGCCCAAAAACAUAUCGUACGUACGUGUAAGCACAUGGAAGCUGGCGGUCAAGGUUGCUGGGCACCCACAUCUCUGCCAUUCUCACCACAACACCAUCACCUCAGUAAAGGCGGCCUGGCAGCAGCUGCACUUCCUCCGUGUGCUGAGGACCAGAAGCUGCUGCUGACCUUCUAACGCUCCUUGCCUGGGUGCUGGUACGCAGGGGCCACAACUGAGAACAAGUAAGCUGCCUAAAAGAUCAUUGGCUGCCCUCUGCCACCCCUGGAGGCCAUUGCCAGCUCCUCCUGUCUCAGGAAAGCCAGGGCGCCACAGGUGACCCUCUGCACCCCACUCACUACCCGUUUGACCCGCUGCCCUUCAGAUGGUGCCUCAGGUCAGAGUCACUGGCAGCUGAGAUAUUAUAGGUAACAGGGCCCAAAGCCUGAAUCUAUGGAACAGCUCUACAGAGCCAGAAGUGUAACGUCCAGCAUUUUUAAAAAUGUAUUUAAGAAGUGAAGAGUCCAAUCUGAUGCUUUGAAACAUGCAAUUUUUAUGUUGCGAUACAUAUUUAUAUAUACAACUGAUUGCUAUGUAAAUACACACACAUGCUCUAACUGACUGCACUUUGUAGGUCACACCUAACACAAAUCCCUAAAUAAUAAUAUGGCAGAAAUCUAAUGCAUUUAGACACGGUUCAGCUGACAGGACUGAAAGGAUCACUUGUUACCUUGAAGCAGCAGGAGAUCACACUGGGUGGCACUCCUGUCAGAUCCACAGUCUCACCAAGACUGGAUGAUAGAAGCA